rnacentral:lncRNA from 1 species
UUUUCUUUAGUUUUGACUCUCACUUAUCACUUAUCACCUCAUCUUCAAAUCUGUUUACAUCCCUAUAAGGGUGCGUUUGGUUCGCGCUAUCUUUUAAAGAUUCCUACUAAUCCAAUGAGAAUAAAAAAAUAUGACGGUGUUUGGCUAAAUACACUAAGUAAUCUAGUUGCUAAUAAUGGAUACACUUGAGAAUAAGAUUCACCCCAAAGUACUAAUCUCAUUCCCUUGAGGGUUGGUGGAUAUCCUCAUAUUAAUGGAUUGGGGUAAUCACAAUAUGUCUAAUCUCUUUCUUUCUUCCUACCCGCAGGCUAAUUGAUAUUUUUUUUUCUUUACACUCUAACCUUAUAUCUCUCUCUAAACUUAUUUUUCUCCCUAAAAUUCAACUUUUUUUCUCUCUCUAAACUAAGCUUUCUCUCUCUCUCUCUUUCUAAAAUUUCAACUCUCUCACUCCCUCUAAUGUUGACUAUAUUUUUCUUUCUAUUUUUUUAAUUAUGCUCUCUCUCUCUCGCUCUCUCUCUAACUUAUACUCUCUCUUCCUUUUUUUUUAAAAGAUGUUGAAACUUUUGGUAACAUUAUCUAAAAUUAAAUAAAUAAAUAAAUAAAUAAAUUGUAUAUUUUUUGUAAUAUUAAAUAAUAUGGCUAAUUAAUAUUACCGUGCGAACCAAACACAGGAAUUUCACAUUCUUAGUAAUGGGAUGAAUAGGAAUAAGAUUCUCGGAUAUCUUUUAUUUCUGGUAAUCUUUCAUAAUGCGAACCAAACGCAUCCUAUGCAUAUCGGGAUAAAAGGUUAUAUCACGUAGCAUUGCUUUAAAUCUUUUAUUAAAUAUUUUUUAAAAAAUCUCUCUCUAGUGUUUUCUCUUUCUCUUAACUUUAGUUUAGUACUGAAACCUAUCUAACACUAUUAGAUAAAAUAGAGUUGGGAUAAAAAUAUAGAGAGAGAUGUUUCUGCGUUUUUCGAUAGAACCGUAAAAAACAUAUCAUAACCAACUAAUCGCGAUAUACGAAAAAAAAUAUUACAUAUGAAAAUAAAUAAAAUAUUUUUACAUUGUACUUUCACCUAUGUAAUGAAAUUUUUUCGUAAUUCCAAACGAAGCCGUAGAGAGAGAGAAAUUUUUGCUAAAUUUUAACGAAAUGCCAUGGUAGGAAAGUAUUUAAAAAUAUGACAAAAUACAGGGUGUAAUGUGAAAUAAAAAAAAAAAACAUAAUCAAAGAAGUAAUUGAGGCACCAUAUAAAGUGCAGAGUAGAUUUUAUAAUUUAACCAAUUAUUUUUACUUGAAAUUAAUUAAUAUAUUUAUUUAUUUGUUUAAUUUUAUUAAUUAACAAAAAUAGAUAUUAAUUAAUAAAAAUGAGAUAAGAGAGUUGUUGCGGAUCAGAGUGGAUUAAAGGAAGGACGGACAUCCCCACCUCCUUGGAAUGUUAAUGGUACGGAUAUCUGAAAUUUUAUCUGAAUCCGAAUCCAAACUCGAACGCAACGAAUUUAUUCAAUGCUAAACGGAUAUAAUUUCGAAUACGAAUAUAAAAAUAAAAAUCGGACAGAUUUGGAUUCGGAUAUGAAUUUGUCUGUAUCCGAUUCGAACCCGAACUCGAUCUGAAUCCGAAUUGAUUUUACAUUAUACAUUAUAUAUAUAAAUAUUUAAUAUUAUAUUUAAAUUUAUAUUUUAAAAAUUUAUAUCUAAUAUAAUAUAUUUUGAAAUACGAUAAAGAGAAAUAACUUUUUCUGAGUUUGGAUUUUCGUGCUGGGGUUCGGAUUUCGGAUAUGAAUUUUUAAAAGCCGUCGGAUGCGGGUUUGGGUUUGGACUUGCAUUUCAAAUUUGUAGUCGGGUUUGGACUUGGAUUUUUAGAAAUCCGUUCGGAAUCCGAU